rnacentral:rRNA from 1 species
CACGUAGGGUGCGAGCGUUGUCCGGAAUUAUUGGGCGUAAAGAGCUCGUAGGCGGUUUGUCGCGUCGACUGUGAAACCCGAGGCUUAACCUCGGGCCUGCAGUCGAUACGGGCAGACUAGAGUUCGGUAGGGGAGACUGGAAUUCCUGGUGUAGCGGUGAAAUGCGCAGAUAUCAGGAGGAACACCGGUGGCGAAGGCGGGGUCUCUGGGGGCCGUAACUGACGCUGAGGAGCGAAAGCAUGGGGGAGCGAACCGG